rnacentral:rRNA from 1 species
CUACGGGGGGCAGCAGUGAGGAAUAUUGCACAAUGGGGGGAACCCUGAUGCAGCAACGCCGCGUGGAGGAUGACGCAUUUCGGUGUGUAAACUCCUUUUAUAUGUCAAGAAAAUGACGGUAGCAUAUGAAUAAGCACCGGCUAACUCCGUGCCAGCAGCCGCGGUAAUACGGAGGGUGCAAGCGUUACUCGGAAUCACUGGGCGUAAAGGACGCGUAGGCGGGUUUGUAAGUCAGGUGUGAAAUCCUACAGCUUAACUGUAGAACUGCACUUGAAACUACGAGUCUAGAGUAUGGGAGGGGGAGAUGGAAUUAGUGGUGUAGGGGUAAAAUCCGUAGAUAUCACUAGGAAUACCUAAAGCGAAGGCGAUCUCCUGGAACAUAACUGACGCUAAGGCGUGAAAGCGUGGGGAGCAAACAGGAUUAGAUACCCCAGUAGUC